rnacentral:lncRNA from 1 species
CCCUUCCUCCGGCUCUUCUCCCUUCCUGUCCUCUGACUCUGCUUUAUUCUGCUGUGGCACCACUCUGCCUGUCUGCUACAGGUCUUAUCUCAAAGCUUCACAGCCUACCUUUGGUGUCCAACGUGGAGCCAUGCCAGCCUCUUGGACCCAUGUGGCAAGUCACCUUUGCUGGUUCACCUUGGCCACCCCAGCCUGCAGGAUGGGUCUGAAAGAGGAGGGACGGUUGCUAACCAGGACGGAGGAUGCGGGAGAUUCCUGACUGCUCAGCCAAGGGGGCACGCAAGUUCUCCCAGGUUCUAUUCCGUGGCUCCAUGCAGAUGCAUCUGCCUUCCCACCAGCGGUGUUAAUUAAGCAGCGUCCAUGGGCCCAUAACACCUAGGCAUCGAGCAGACCCAGCGGAACGCAACUCCAAUGACUGAAUUCCUCUCCCAUCACGUGACACGGGUCCACACUGUCCAGACGUUCUUUUAUAGACAAUAUCACAAAGUGGCUCUUUAAUUGGAAAAGUACAAAGAAAGAAAUUAAUUAAAAGAAACUCUACGGAACCAUAAGUGACCAUGAACAUGG